rnacentral:rRNA from 1 species
UGGGCAACCUGCCCCUCUCUCUGGGAUAACCCCGGGAAACCGGGGCUAAUACCGGAUGUGACGCGCCCGCGCAUGGGGGUGUGUGGAAAGAUUUAUUGGCCAGGGAUGGGCUCGCGGCCUAUCAGCUUGUUGGUGGGGUGAUGGCCUACCAAGGCGACGACGGGUAGCCGGCCUGAGAGGGCGACCGGCCACACUGGGACUGAGACACGGCCCAGACUCCUACGGGAGCA